ACGGUUGUCAACGAGAAAACAACAGCACAGAGCGGCGUCUGAUAUCUAAACAGCGACACCGCGAGGUCUGGAGGAGGAAUCGUUCUUUGAAGGCUGCUGGUCGUAACUAACAGCGCAUGCGCAAUGAGCUUAGAAACAGCUUUGGAAUCCACCAGUUUGAAGAUGCCUUUUUCUCUCUGUGUCCACUUAAUGUACUUUGGACAGGUAGCUUUGUCUUGAAGCAAAGCCAACAAGAAUUCCCAAAGGCUGCUCAUCUGGAGGCGAUUCUACCGGCUCUUGAUACAGGUUCUGAUGGAUCUCCAUCACCUCCGGAAUUCCAUCUACGGUGACGGACACGUGUGUGAUCGGAGUGACGAUCAGCUCAUCUUCAGAAGUUCCAAA